UGGUCAAGUUAUUAAGGGUGCAGGGCGGAUGCCUUGGCACUAGGAGCCGAUGAAGGACGCGAUAAGCUGCGAUAA
rnacentral:rRNA from 1 species